CGUAGGUGGCAAGCGUUGUCCGGAUUUAUUGGGUUUAAAGGGUGCGUAGGCGGCCCUGUAAGUCAGUGCUGAAAUAUCCCGGCUUAACCGGGAGGGUGGCAUUGAUACUGCAGGGCUUGAGUACAGAUGAAGUAGGCGGAAUUGACGGUGUAGCGGUGAAAUGCAUAGAUAUCGUCAAGAACACCGAUGGCGAAGGCAGCUUACUAAGCUGUAACUGACGCUGAGGCACGAAAGUGUGGGGAUCAAACAGGAUUAGAUACCCUGGUAGUCCACACUGUAAACGUUGAUGACUCGAUGUUGGCGAUACACAGCCAGCGUCCAAGAGCAAUCGUUAAGUCAUCCACCUGGGGAGUACGCCGGCAACGGUG
rnacentral:rRNA from 1 species